GAUGAACGCUGGCGGCGUGCCUAAUACAUGCAAGUCGAGCGAACAGACGAGGAGCUUGCUCCUCUGACGUUAGCGGCGGACGGGUGAGUAACACGUGGAUAACCUACCUAUAAGACUGGGAUAACUUCGGGAAACCGGAGCUAAUACCGGAUAAUAUAUUGAACCGCAUGGUUCAAUAGUGAAAGACGGUUUUGCUGUCACUUAUAGAUGGAUCCGCGCCGCAUUAGCUAGUUGGUAAGGUAACGGCUUACCAAGGCAACGAUGCGUAGCCGACCUGAGAGGGUGAUCGGCCACACUGGAACUGAGACACGGUCAAGACUCCUAAGGGAGGCAGCAGUAGGGAAUCUGCCGCAAUGGGCGAAAGCUUGACGGAGCAACGCCGCGUGAGUGAUGAAGGUCUUCGGAUCGUAAAACUCUGUUAUUAGGGAAGAACAAAUGUGUAAGUAACUAUGCACGUCUUGACGGUACCUAAUCAGAAAGCCACGGCUAACUACGUG
rnacentral:rRNA from 1 species